CAGUAGCCGCGGGAAUACGAAGGGGGCUAGCGUUGUUCGGAUUUACUGGGCGUAAAGGGCGCGUAGGCGGACUGAUAAGUCAGGGGUGAAAUCCCAAGGCUCAACCUUGGAACUGCCUUUGAUACUGUUUGUCUUGAGUUCGAGAGAGGUAAGUGGAACUGCGAGUGUAGAGGUGAAAUUCGUAGAUAUUCGCAAGAACACCAGUGGCGAAGGCGGCUUACUGGCUCGAAACUGACGCUGAGGCGCGAAAGCGUGGGGAGCAAACAGGAUUAGAUACCCCAGUAGUCCCUGUCUCUUAUAA
rnacentral:rRNA from 1 species